GUAGGGUGCGAGCGUUGUCCGGAAUUAUUGGGCGUAAAGGGCUCGUAGGCGGUUUGUCGCGUCGGGAGUGAAAACUCAGGGCUUAACCCUGAGCCUGCUUCCGAUACGGGCGGACUAGAGGUAUGCAGGGGAGAACGGAAUUCCUGGUGUAGCGGUGAAAUGCGCAGAUAUCAGGAGGAACACCGGUGGCGAAGGCGGUUCUCUGGGCAUUACCUGACGCUGAGGAGCGAAAGUGUGGGGAGCGAACAGGAUUAGAUACCCUGGUAGUCCACACCGUAAACGUUGGGCGCUAGGUGUGGGACUCAUUCCACGAGUUCCGUGCCGCAGCUAACGCAUUAAGCGCCCCGCCUGGGGAGUACGGCCGCAAGGCUA
rnacentral:rRNA from 1 species